rnacentral:lncRNA from 14 species
AUGGCGGCGCCCAUGGCGAGCGCGGGAACGGGUGAGGGAGGCGGGGAGCCCCGGGCGGGACCGGGAACGGGAACGGGAACGGGAACGGGACCCGGAACGGGAACGGGACCCGAGCGGCGCCUCCCUCUCCCCUCAGGGCCGCGGCCGGGGCGGCGCUGAGCGCGGGGGGCGCGGAGCCGGUACCGGGCAGGCGGAGCUGGGAGCGCCCGGGAAUGGCGGAGGGGCCGGGACGGGCCAGGGUGAGUGAGGGGAGAGACAGGGGGAGAGGAUCCAGGUGUGGGACCCGGGUGUGGAGUCCAGGUGGGAUUCACAUGAGGGGGUGGGACCCAGGUGUGGGACCCCUCCUGUCUCACCUUUGCCGUGGGGGGAGAUUUUGGCGCUUCCGGCUCUCCCCGGGGAAUUUUGUCUCUCCGCAGGGUGCCCGGGCCCGGAGCAGCUCCCCAGAUCCCAUCGAGGACGUGCUCGGGGAGCUCCUGGGAUCCGAUGGUAACGGGGGAGGUGACCUGGGGGGGUUACCUGGGGUCACCUGGGAAUUACCUGGGGUCACUUGGGGUCACCUGCGGAGGGUCACCUGGAGGGAAUCGCUUUGGGGGGGCUCACCUGGGAGUCACCUGGGGUCAUCUAGGGGUCACCUGGGGUCACCUGGGAAUUACUUGGGGUCACCUGUGGAGGGUCACCUGGAGGGAAUUACCUGGGAUCACCUGGGAAUCCCCUGGGGUCACUUGCUUGGGCUCACCUGGGAAUCCCCUGGGCGGGAAUCCCUU